ACAGGUUGAGAACCGCUGCCUUAGAGUAACUCCAUAAAGUUGUUAGGUAUAAAAUAAAUACACAAGAAGAUAUAUAUAAUCAACACUGGUCCUAUAUAUCUUAAAACAAAAAUUCCUAAUUUACAAACCCCUCAAAAUCAGAAUGAACUUAAGAAUAAAUGUGAGAACACUUAUGUAGAAAACUAAAAUUUCUCUGAUGGUUAGAGGUAGAUUUGAAUGACGUUAUCUACCACAUUCUUUUAUGUGAAGACCGUAUUACAUGGAACUUCAUUUUUCACAAACUAGUCAAUUCUAAUCAAAAUCCCAAUGACAUAUGCAGGGGAGUGAAGAAGUUAAGUUCUGAGGAAAUGAUACCUGGGUCACCUGGAGGAACAGAUAAAACAAGAUCUUUUAAAAGCUGCUGAAGAUGUGGAUGUUCAAGUGAAGUAUGGAGCUACAAUCAAAGGAAAGACAGGCCUGUGAACGAUGUGAUGUAGAACUUUUCCUAUUUGUCACGGAGAAGGGCCCGUGACUGCCAGGUGUCCCCGGGGACCGCACGACGCCAGGCCAGCUCACAGACACUCGGAGGCAGGCGAUGGCACACAGGUACCCAGGCUCAUCGCCGUGUUGUCACCGUGCCCUGAACAAAGACCGUCUGACGUCCACUCUGAACAGUGCCUGUGUCCAGAUGACGUGCAAGGACGUUCCUACCUGGCGGGCGCUGCUGAUUGGUUCCUUGGUAAGGAAACAUUACUUCGCAGACACACAACCAAAAACAUCCUGAGAUGAUUCCUUAAGCUACUCAUUUCCUUUAUGUCAAAAAUUUCACUUCCAGAAAUCUACUCUAGGAAAAUGCUAAAGUAUAACCCAAAAAUGCUCCAUGAAGAAUGAUUUAUAAUAGUGAAAAAAUAGAAAUAACCUCAACAGCCAACA